GCAGGUUCCUUUGGUGUAACUGGAUCCCGUGGAUCACCAUCAAGCCAUUCAGAUUAUGCUGAGAGCCACUACUUGACCCUUGAGAGAGACUGACCUGAAAUUUAAAAAAAAAAGUAAAGAUCAUCCCCCAGUACAUCUCUCCCCCACCGCCUCCUUGCAAAAUCCACUCCCUGAAACCCCCUUUUCAGCCUUCACUCGAGCUGUGAUCCUCACCAGAGGCUGACCCUUCCCAGUGCCUGCAGAUCAGCUCCUCCAUGCAGCCCAGGACUUCACUCCACACAUCAUCAAACACGAAGAUGAUUAGCAAUAAAACCAGCUACAAAACAUACACAUCCUUAAGAAGUCAGCAGCAGCAAAGAUAUUUCUAUUUACUGACCAGCUCAAGGUAGUCAGCAACGAGCACGGC